GUGUUAUUCUUUAGGGCUUGUAGAGGCCAGUGGGAAGCAAACACCCAAUCCACAUCACACAGAUGCUGCUGAGGAACCUGGGGAAGAAGGAGAAACAAAACCAAAGCAUAAACCCUUUGUCCCAGCUAUGGUGCCUCCAAAAA